rnacentral:rRNA from 1 species
UGCAGUCGAACGCAGUAGCAAUACUGAGUGGCAAACGGGUGAGUAUAAUGUGGGAAUCUGCCUUUUGGUUUGGAAUAACACGGGGAAACUUGUGCUAAUACCGAAUAAGCCCUUACGGGGAAAGUUUUAAUGCCGAAAGAUGAGCCUGCACUUGAUUAGCUAGUUGGUAAGGUAAAGGCUUACCAAGGCUACGAUCAAUAGCUGUUCUUAGAGGAAGACCAGCCACAUUGGGACUGAGACACGGCCCAGACUCCUACGGGAGGCAGCAGUGGGGAAUCUUGCACAAUGGGGGAAACCCUGAUGCAGCGAUGCCGCGUGAGUGAAGAAGGCCCUUGGGUUGUAAAACUCUUUCGUCGGGGAAGAAAAUGACUGUACCCGAAUAAGAAGGUCCGGCUAACUUCGUGCCAGCAGCCGCGGUAAUACGAAGGGACCUAGCGUAGUUCGGAAUUACUGGGCUUAAAGAGCUCGUAGGUGGUUAAAAAAGUUGAUGGUGAAAUCCCAAGGCUCAACCUUGGAACUGCCAUCAAAACUUUUCAGCUAGAGUGUGAUAGAGGUAAGUGGAAUUUCUAGUGUAGAGGUGAAAUUCGUAGAUAUUAGAAAGAACACCAAAUGCGAAGGCAACUUACUGGGUCACUACUGACACUGAGGAGCGAAAGCAUGGGUAGCGAAGAGGAUUAGAUACCCUCGUAGUCCAUGCCGUAAACGAUGUGUGCUAGACGUUGGAAAUAUAUUUUUCAGUGUCGCGGCGAAAGCAUUAAGCACACCGCCUGGGGAGUACGACCGCAAGGUUAAAACUCAAAUGAAUUGACGGGGACCCGCACAAGCAGUGGAGCAUGUGGUUUAAUU